UACAGAAAUCAACAAUGGGCCAAUUACUGAUUAUUCUGUUAAAUGCUUUAUUCCUUUCCGUUGUCACGGCCAAUAUGGAUAUGAAAUUUGGGUAUGACGUUAUUGAAGGAAAUGCCAGAUAUUCGGAAAACAUAGAAACAAAUCUAGAAAAGAAUGUAGUAAAAAUUCACACCCCAGCACACAAUGAUGUUAUGGAAUCGUACCAAAUUCAAGAUUUCAGUCAGGGUCAGCAGAUGAAAUGUCUCCCUUCCUUGAAGCAAUGCAGACUGCGGGACAUAGAAC